CGACAACAACAACCCUACCACCGAGUACUUGUAAAGAAGGCAAAGAUUCCUUGGUGGAUUGCAGCCAAUCAAGAAGUGAAGUAGGAAUUCUGCAUGGAAUACAGCCGGUCGAUGGGGUUUCCCACUCUUGCAGGGGUCUGUGGGAGGAGCCACAGGAGCAGUCAGCAGAGGGCGUGUCCUGACAGACACAUCUCUCCGCACUACUGGCAGUAUCUGCAGGAGGUGCUGUCUCAGGAAGUUAACAUCCAUCAUCAAAGACCCCUACCAUCAAGGCCAUAUCAUCUUCUCCCAGCUACCACUGGCCAAGAGGCACAAAAGCCUUAACUUGCACACCACCAGGUUCAAGGGCAGCAACUACCUUUCAACCACCCGCAACCCACCCCCCGAACGAAUCUGCAAAACCCUAAUUACGAGAACUGAGCAACACUUUGAUCACCUACACUAAAAUGGACACUUCUUUUGUUCUAAUUGAGUCCUUUCUUGUAAAAAUUGUGAAUACUUUAUGUUUAAUGUACCUUUCUCUUGUGAAUGUUGUUUACCUGAUGCUGUGUGCCAGUGACACUGCUGUAAAUAAAUUUUUCAUUGCACCUGUGUGUGCAUCUACUUGUGAUGGUAAUGCCAAACUCAACUUUCCCUUUGGAUCUUCCGAGACACUGGGUCAGGUCAUGAGAUUUAUCAGUGCAGGGUAGAGAAUAGGUUGGGGGAAGUGAUUCAUUCUGUGGAAUGCUGAUCAAUCUACAUGUGGGGCUGGAUUGGGGGACGGGCAGCUGAGAUGAUGGAAGGGGUUGGUCCAGGAAUUCCAGGGCUUCAGCCCUUGGCAAUCGAAGAUGCAGCUGCUAAUAGUGGAGCUUCUAAAGCAGGGUUUGGAUCAGUAGCCGUGCCGACGUCUGUUGUCCAUUCCAGACAGCCGCAGCAUGAAGAGGCAGCUAAACUGGUGAGUCAGGAGUUACUUAUGGACCAGGUUAG